rnacentral:tRNA from 1 species
GGGACUAUGGCUUAGUGGUCGAGUGCUUGCCUAAAAAGCAAGAGGCCCUGAGUUCAAAUCCCAGUACCACCA